CUACGAAAGGUGCAAGCGUUGUUCGGAUUUACUGGGCGUAAAGAGAGUGUAGGUGGUUUAUUAAGUCGGAUGCGAAAUCCCGGGGCUCAACCUCGGAACUGCAUUCGAUACUGAUAGGCUAGAGUUUGGGAGGGGUAAGCGGAAUUCCGUGUGUAGCAGUGAAAUGCGUAGAUAUACGGAGGAACACCUGAGGCGAAGGCGGCUUACUGGACCAAUACUGACACUGAGACUCGAAAGCGUGGGUAGCAAACAGGAUUAGAAACCCUAGUAGUCC
rnacentral:rRNA from 1 species